UUUAUGGAGAGUUUGAUCCUGGCUCAGGAUGAACGCUGGCGGCGUGCCUAAUACAUGCAAGUCGAGCGAACAGAUAAGGAGCUUGCUCCUUUGACGUUAGCGGCGGACGGGUGAGUAACACGUGGGUAACCUA
rnacentral:rRNA from 1 species